GGUAGGAUACUCAAGCGGCCAACGAGGGGAGACUGUAAAUCUCCUGGGGCAACCCUACACAGGUUCGAAUCCUGUUCCUACCACCA
rnacentral:tRNA from 1 species